UCACCAGAGAAUGGGAUUAACAUCAAAUA
rnacentral:piRNA from 1 species